UACUUUCACCGUCACCUUUCACUUACACUCUGGCAUGAUAAAGCAGACACUGGGACUGUGAUAGYACCAGGGCUGUGAUGUGGCAGUGGGAAGCCCUAGGCAAUUGCUUGCUUCAUCCAAGGAAACCAUGGGUCCUAAGAUGGUAUUUUAGGUUGAGAGAGGCAUUGUCCCCCUGCCUCAGGAGCAGGACUUGGAGAUGUCCGUUUGUUGAGGGCAAUGUUUUACUUUCUUCAAGGAUUCUCAUAUGGCAGAACAUUAACAUUUGUUCUUCCAGUUCCAUUAGGGCCCURUUGUUUGAGGGCCCAGUCCAGAGGCAGAUUUCCAGCCCACCUCUGUUUAUUCUUGAGGGUCUAUGUUACAGGCUAUUUGCUGAGACUUUGCCUUCCUUAUGUUGCCUACAAGGGAAGGAAAAGCUUGCUAGUUCUUCCCAACAUUAGAAGACUUAUUGUCUCUCUGAACUGCCUUUCAAGAGCAGAUGGUUUUGUUGUAUUGUGGAGCUGUGUAUUUUCUUUUAAUGGCUCAGCACUACUUGAAAGGCAGAUCUGGCCCUAGUGCGUUUGCCAAAUCAAAUGGUUGGCCUGCUGGGAAAACUYGGCCUAAGACUUUAAGUGGGAAGUGGUCCAACAACAAAGCAGGUCAAAAAUCCUACUUGGCUCAGAUGUAUGUUUCUCGGCUCAAGAUUUCUGACAGUAAAAAACACCAUUUUUAGCAGUGACUGUGUGAACUCCUCAUGCCUGGCCUGUUCAGAGAGUGUCAAAUAUUCUGUGUGCAUUAAAAUGAGAUAAUCUUAACUUGAAACAGAUUUUUUUUCUAAAAGAAGGCUGUGGAGGUCUCUUUUUUGGUGUAUUAAGCAUGUCAGCAAGAGAUUUUUAUUCCUYCUUGUUCCUUUAAACUCUGCCAACCCUUGUCUUUGCAGGUGGUGCUUGAAGAGGUGAUGGAAGUUUCACAAGAAAGACAUAUAUUGCUGUCUCUCCCCUUAAAUGUUAGUUCCUCAGUACAGGUCCUUGGCAAGGGCAUGUUGAGAGGUGCUAAAAUGCAUGUGGAGAAGACCUGUACCGUGCUGAAACUCCCAUGCAUCACUAUGGCCCCAUGCCCUGAAAAGCAAGAAAUUGCCCUCCGUUGGAGGCACAAGGAGUAGGAAACGGCGUUUAAGGAUGCUGAGUGUUUUGGAGGAGCAGAUGGAGGCCCAAGCUCUACCARGAGGAGGUCUACGUCAUUUCCAUGAUGGACCUGGCUUGGUGUUGAAAUGGGCAAGCAGGAGUGCUCCAUGGCUCACAGUGCUCACUGCUCAAUAAGCACUGUGCCAGCUAGAGGAUUAACUGCUGUCUAAACGUGAUUCUUGCCUGGGGAAGGUGUGAAUCUCUGGGCCUUGGAGUGGGGAGCUCAUUUCUGCUCAGGAAAGACUGGGCCACCAUCCCAGACAGGGCUGCAGUGGGAUGUCAUCUUUUCAUCUGCUGACUUCACCCAUUUGUCCCAUUGCAUAUGUCCCAGCACCUGUUUCCCAUCAGAUUGAAGGAAGGCUUGGAAAUUGAAGAGGCAUCUCCUGCCUGGAACGAACAGCAUGUGCUUGGUUGUUACUGCAUGAAUUAUGACUGUAACUGCAUGUGCUCUCACUGUCAGGUUAGCCUGACCCUGCCUCUAGGAGAGGUUCUCAGCUGCAUUUCUCACUGACUGGAGUGCAAGAAAGUCUCCCUCCUUCCCUUCAUUCAGGCCUUUGCWUCUGCCAGUCUUCAUGAAGCAAUCAAAUGCUGCUUUGCUCCCCUCAGGGUGUCUCUAUUGCUGUAUGUUGCUCCAUGACACAUGCCUUUSAUGAUUUCUUGAGCCCCAAGAGCCCCAUUCUCUCCAUCAGCAGACAGAUCCAAAUCCUUCUGGGAGGUUUUCAAACGGUGAGUGGUCAACUCGAAUUYGUAAGUGAUGUCAGAUCCCUGAGGGCCCUGCUGAGAGCCUUCAUGGUCUUGAACACGCCUAUCUUUCACCCCUGUGCAUUCUAGUACCUCACUUAAGUUCAGCACAAGUGACCCAAUCCAGCUCCAAGCUAUGAUGAUGUUUCCCUGUGCCCAUCUCUCUCUCCUGGAUAGACCCCUUGGACCCAGGCUAUAGCGCUCUUUAGGAAGAAGGGUGGAAUAAGCGAUGGGGAGUGAGUGCAUAACUGUGCUGUCAUUCCCUUCACUAGCACMAUGUAUGGUCUGUGUCCAGCAAUAAUCUAGUCCUGGCAGCAACAGCAGAGGCUCAGAAGCUUUCCAUCCUGGGRGGUCUGGAGUGUGAAUUUGGAUGCAUGAACCAAAAGGCAUCUGUGGUAAUUAACUAUUGCUCCAGCUGUGGAGAAUCAAACUGCAAGUUGUGUUUUGAAGGAAAGCUGUGAACACAGCAGAAAGCCCUAACAGAUAAGUGUUGGAGGAGGCUGCUUUCCUCAUCCCAUCCCAAAUUUCUUCCACCCUAAGAGUAGAUGCACUUUAGGCACUGUGCCCAUGGGAGGGUCUUGUAGAUGUAAUCCUAUUACUAGGGGUAAGACAGGAUCUAACCCAUUCAUAGUGCUUUUGUUAAUUAAGACUAGCUUYAAGCCUCCUUGAAUAAGAUGCCUAAUAAUCGGGCAGAGCCUGAUGUACUGUGUGCUAGCACUGUACAGAAUACAGACUUGAGAUAUCUGCCUAAAACUUUUGGGGAAAUCAGGUGAGUGAUAUUUAUGUUUGUGAUCUGAAUAUGAAUAGUUUGUUCUCACCUGUACUAACUUCAUGGAGUUGAAAGGCAAGAGACCGACAGGCUGUUGUAUAAAUAUGUGGGGCUGGAAUGAAAGGUUGCUGAAGGGAAGAGGAAUCAAAAGCAGCUAUCCUGAAGCUGGCAAGGAAUUUACAGCAUUUCUCACAUGUCUCAUUUCCUUCAGGCAUUGUGAUACAUGCUAUUUUUCUGUUUUGUUAAAAGCUAUCUCCUAGGGCUACAUGAAUAGCUGAGAAUCUCAGCUUUUGUUAAAGGAGAUGUGAUCCUUGCAUGGGUGGUGAGAAAAAGCUUAGAAGUCUUAGACUUGGAACAGAAAGCAAAUAAAACCCUAACAUCUUGACUUUU